GCCAGCCCGCUCAGAACUUAAGGAAUUGACGGGGCCGCACAAGCGGUGGAGUAUGUGGUUUAAUUCGAUGCAACGCGAAGAACCUUACCUGGUCUUGACAUCCCGGAGACCCUUAGGAAACUAGGGGGUGCUUCCAUCUGGAAGAAUCUGGAGACAGGUGCUGCAUGGCUGUCGUCAGCUCGUGUCGUGAGAUGUUGGGUUAAGUCCCGCAACGAGCGCAACCCUUGCCUUUAGUUGCCAGCAGUUCGGCUGGGCACUCUAAAGGGACUGCCGGUGUUAAACCGGAGGAAGGUGGGGAUGACGUCAAGUCCUCAUGGCCUUUAUGACCAGGGCUACACACGUACUACAAUGGCCGAUACAAAGAGCAGCGACACUGCGAGGUGAAGCCAAUCCCGUAAAAUCGGUCUCAGUCCGGAUUGGAGUCUGCAACUCGACUCCAUGAAGUUGGAAUCGCUAGUAAUCGUGGAUCAGCAUGCCACGGUGAAUACGUUCCCGGGCCUU
rnacentral:rRNA from 1 species